CGCACGGUAAACGAUGGAUGCCCGCUGUUGGUCUGAAUAGGUCAGCGGCCAAGCGAAAGCAUUAAGCAUCCCACCUGGGGAGUACGCCGGCAACGGUGAAACUCAAAGGAAUUGACGGGGGCCCGCACAAGCGGAGGAACAUGUGGUUUAAUUCGAUGAUACGCGAGGAACCUUACCCGGGCUUGAAUUGCAGAGGAAGGAUUUGGAGACAAUGACGCCCUUCGGGGUCUCUGUGAAGGUGC
rnacentral:rRNA from 1 species